rnacentral:rRNA from 1 species
ACGGGUGAGUAAUACAUCGGAACGUGCCCUGUAGUGGGGGAUAACUAGUCGAAAGAUUAGCUAAUACCGCAUACGACCUGAGGGUGAAAGUGGGGGACCGCAAGGCCUCAUGCUAUAGGAGCGGCCGAUGUCUGAUUAGCUAGUUGGUGAGGUAAAGGCUCACCAAGGCGACGAUCAGUAGCUGGUCUGAGAGGACGAUCAGCCACACUGGGACUGAGACACGGCCCAGACUCCUACGGGAGGCAGCAGUGGGGAAUUUUGGACAAUGGGGGCAACCCUGAUCCAGCAAUGCCGCGUGUGUGAAGAAGGCCUUCGGGUUGUAAAGCACUUUUGUCCGGAAAGAAAUCGCACUUACUAAUAUUAGGUGUGGAUGACGGUACCGGAAGAAUAAGGACCGGCUAACUACGUGCCAGCAGCCGCGGUAAUACGUAGGGUCCAAGCGUUAAUCGGAAUUACUGGGCGUAAAGCGUGCGCAGGCGGUUGUGCAAGACCGAUGUGAAAUCCCCCGGGCUUUAACCUGGGGAAUUGCAUUGUGUGACUGCACGGCUAGAGUGUGUCAGAGGGGGGUAGAAUUCC